GGAUUUUCCAGGCAAGAGUACUGGAGUGGGGUGCCAUUGUCUUCUCUGUUUUAAAAACUAAUUAUAAAUUAUUUCUGUGAGGUAAAAGAAGAUAGCAUAUAUUCUCAUUGUUCCAUUCUGUCUUUUUAUAUUUAUUUCCUAAAAUAAUGUAUCUCACAGAUAAUGAUAGGGUCCCCUAAGGAUGGCAAGAAUGGGAUGCUAAGCACACCACAGAGAUAUGUGGGGAAUGGGUAUAUCACCAUAUAUAUGUCGAAUAAAUGAAAGCUGUUUCAGCCUUCCAGUUCCUUUCCUUGUGACAGUUCUAACUCAGUCCUUGUCAAUGACCUGAUGAAUAGAAGAGACAUGCAUUUUGGCUUUCCUAUUGGUGGCGUUUGAAAAAAAAAAGAAUAAAAUUUAUUUUUCAUGCAAAACUUUAGCCAAAUGUAGUUCCUUUUUUAACUUUGUAUUGUAGUCAACUGACUGCACACCUUGAAAUAUGGAAGGAGUGGAGCGAGAAGGGCUGAUAAAAAAGAUCCUACAUCAUAGAAAUUACGACAUAAAACAUUAGAAAACUUCAAACGGAAUAUUUGAAUGAGGAAAACAAAAUUCGACUCAAUGUAAAUUAUGUCUCUAAUAUAAGCUUCUUUUCCACUUGAGCCUUGUUUUUCAAAAUUCUUAUGUGAACUUCAGAAGUACCUUGGUGAUUCUCUUAUUCUCUAGGAGUCAUUGUCAAUUCAGUUGAUUUUACUUUUGCUAACCUGGAAUCUGGAGGCGGGAAGUAGGGGUGACUGAGAAACAAGAGAAGACUGCCGCUUUGCUAAUAAAAACCAAAAGAAAACCCAGGCUUCACUAGGAAGAAAGGUAACUGGAAGGUCAGAUUUACCUUUCAGUCUAUAGAGAUUUUUCUCACAAAUGAACUCAGGUGUUUAAUUUAUUGCUAUUACAGAAUGCUGAGAAUGCUUUACUGAAGGAGAGAGCAGAAAAUUUAUGAGUUUAGAGAUAAAAAUCAGAAAAUGCAAGUCUGGCAAUUUAGUAAACAGAAGAGAGAGUGUGAAUGUCUGUGCCAUAGCACAUAGAGGGCAAAUUUUAGGUUUUAGGAAGAAAUGAAUAUUCUGUUUAGUGACAUGACAACUUCAGAGAAUAGUGUUAAAGUUGUAAUAUACAGCUUUUUAUAAAAAGUACAGUCAUCGCACCUCUAAAACUGUCAGGUGCUUG
rnacentral:lncRNA from 1 species